rnacentral:lncRNA from 1 species
GCAGCCGAGCAGGGGAAGAACUGGGCCGCCUGUAGAGGGCGGGCCGAAUAGUCACCAACCCUCUACUUGGUCCUUUGCAAUCCUUUCCAGACCUUCUGUGGUCUCCUGUCACACAGGGCUCACCUGGGGGGACCCUGAUGGCCAGAUUCUCUUGAACAGUCUCUAGGGACAUAUUGGGUAUUGCUAUACCUUCAUCCAUUGAACAGUUUUCCAGUGGCUCCAUAAUAUGUGAUAUCACAACAGAUUGAAUGCAGAAACAAUCUUUAUACUCCUGUAUUUUCCUUUGUGGAGUAUAUUGGGUUGGAGGCUAGAAGGCAUGAUGAGAAUGAAAGAACAAAUGAAGCAUCCAUUAACUUCGAAUGAUCAGAUGCUAGGGUGUGAGGAAUUUUCAGGCCAAAAUGCACUGGGUUAUUGUCUCCUAUUGACAGUGUGAUAUUACAGAUAACCUCUAGGAGAUCCUGAACAUAUUCAGGCUAAACCAGGCAAACAAACAUUCAGGAUGUUACCAGUGUGGAAAACCCCUAGGAGAGACAGCCAAAAUUAAGACUGAUGGAGAAAUUUCCCCCAGCAAUACCACUUAAAAAUAUGUAUUUUUUACUUUGGAUAGAAGUUCUGAUUGGUGAAUGAAUAAGUGACUGGAUAAAGAGAAAGGGAGAAGAGGAAGAAGCAAUGAAGCGAAUCCAGGGGAAGGCAAACAGAGCAAGCUCAUGAACACAUAGGCGCUGAUAGCCUGGAAAGCUCUGCUUCUGGACUCCUUCUACUGGACUCAGCUUCACAAAAGCUUGCCCGACACUCUGAGACCCUGAAUGGAUCCUUCUGUGGCUGAUUCAACUCAAAUCUGAGGCUCUGGAUUCCCAGCUCUCU